rnacentral:misc_RNA from 1 species
AAGAAGUGCCCUCUUUAUCAAGUUCCUUCUCAUGGGGAUGCAAAAAUUAGCUAUUUUAUGCAUAUAUCAUAUCCGAAAAAGUUGUGACCAUAGACACCAAAGGGCCAUAUGCAAGCUAGUGUUCCUUCUCUCCAACUAAUUUGUUGAAAUGAAUAGAUUAUCGAACCAUAUUUACUUUAUAUUAACUUUUUGAUUUUGUUGGGCUGUUAGGCAGAAAAAUAAAUAGGGCAAAAAUGGCAUGAUUUCAGCACCAAGACCAUGUGACUUAGGACUUGGGAGAAAAA